AUAGGUAUCUUAUCUACAUUAUCGUGGCAUUAUCGUGGCGUUGCAUCGAUCACGGCGCUCUUCCCUCCAGCACUCUGUCUCCCAGCAGCCCUCGCCGCCCACCUGAAGGCCCUCACAUUGCAGCCAUGGUUGAAGGGGUCACGGUAUGUGGAACCUUCGUCACCAAGAGGACUAUUACUUACGUUGACCGAAUCGCACGUGUGUUUCUCGUCUGCGCAGGAAUCAACUUUCUAUUCGUUGUGGCACUGAAUUGUUACUCUAUGGACUAUACCUGUCUGGACAUAAGAAACAAACUGUUGAUCAGCGGAGGUAGUCUGUUUGGAUGUUACGCGGUUAUCCAGGUAACUGCCUGCGUGCUGAGAGUAAAGCUUAGGAUGUCCACUACACAGCACGGUACCAACCAGAUGACCCAAGCCACCACGCUAAACAACCAGGCCUUUACAAGUACCCCCCAGCAACACCUGUCCCCCCCUGCCACCAGUUCAAGUCCUCGCCUCCAGCAGCACCCCUUCAUCGACCCCAGACCAAGUACCAUUGAGACGACUCAAGCCACCGCAUUCGACAACCAGGCCUUUACAAGUACCCCCCAGCAACACCUAUCCUCCGCUGCCACCAUUUCAAGCCCUCACCUCCAGCAGCUCCCCUUCACCGAUCCCAAGCUCCACCAUGAUUUGGACCAGCCUCAAAUUUGUCCUGAAGGCCCUACUGACCUAACAACCAGCCAGACGAGUCAGGUCACAUCACUAUGACAUGAAGUGUAAUUUUGAUAUUAAAAUGCGAAA